UACGGAGGGGGCGAGCGUUAUUCGGAAUUAUUGGGCGUAAAGAGCUCGUAGGCGGUCUGUCACGUCGGCUGUGAAAACCCGGGGCUCAACCCCGGGCCUGCAGUCGAUACGGGCAGACUAGAGUGCGGUAGGGGAGACUGGAAUUCCUGGUGUAGCGGUGAAAUGCGCAGAUAUCAGGAGGAACACCGGUGGCGAAGGCGGGUCUCUGGGCCGUAACUGACGCUGAGGAGCGAAAGCGUGGGGAGCGAACAGG
rnacentral:rRNA from 1 species